rnacentral:rRNA from 1 species
AGCCUGAUCCAGCCAUGCCGCGUGCAGGAUGACGGUCCUAUGGAUUGUAAACUGCUUUUGUACGAGAAAAAACACUCCUAUGUAUAGGAGCUUGACCGUAUCGCAUCAAUAAAGAUCGCCUAACUCCGUGCCAGCAGCCGCGGUAAUACGGAGGAUCCGAGCGUUAUCCGGAAUCAUUGGGUUUAAAGGGUCCGGAGGCAGUUUGGUAAGUCCGUGGUGAAAACCCCUCUUUCAACGGUGGAACGGCCAUUGAUACUGCCUGACUUGAAUUAUUAGGAAGUAACUGAAAUAUGUAGUGUAUCGGUGAAACGCUUAUAGAUUACAUGGAAUACCAAUUGCUAACGCAGGUUACUACUAAUGGAUUGACGCUGAUGGACGAAAGCGUGGCUAGGGAACACGAUUACAUACCCUGGUAAUCCACGCCGUAAACGAUGGAUACGAUCUGUUGGAAGCAAUUUCAGUGGCUAAUCCAAACUGAUAAGUAUCCCACCUGGAGAGUACCUUCGCAAAAAUGAAACUCACAGGAAUUGACGGGGGCCCGCGCAAGCGGUGUAGCAUGUGCUUUAAUUCCAUGAUACGCUAGGAACCUUACC